rnacentral:pre_miRNA from 1 species
AAAGUACUCCCUCCGUCCCAAAAUUCUUGUCUUAGAUUUGUCUAGAUACAGAUGUAUCAAGUCACAUUUUAGUAUUAGAUACAUCCGUAUCUAGACAAAUCUAAGACAAGAAAUUUGGGACAGUGGGAGUAGUUG